AUUGAACGCUGGCGGCAGGCCUAACACAUGCAAGUCGAGCGAGCGGCGGACGGGUGAGUAAUGUCUGGUACACUGCCUGAUGGAGGGGGAUAACUACUGGAAACGGUAGCUAAUACAGCAUACCAUCAGAUGUGCCCAGAUGGGAUUAGCUAGUAGGGGGGGUAACGGCUCACCUAGGCGACGAUCCCCAGCUGGUCUGAGAGGAUGACCAGCCACACGUGACAUGGGACACGGUCCAGACUCCUACGGGAGGCAGCAGUGGGGAAUGUUGGACAAUGGGCGCAAGCCUGAUGCAGCCAUGCCGCGUGUGUGAAGAAGGCCUUCGGGUUGUAAAGCACGUUCAGCGGGGAGGCGUUACCCGCAGAAGAAGCACCGGCUAACUCCGUGCCAGCAGCCGCGGUAAUAC
rnacentral:rRNA from 1 species